AAAGAAAAUAAUUCCUGGAACUUUGCAUGUUUUAUGGGACUUUCCUUAUGAGGUAGGCUCUCCAAUUUUUUAUGAGAUGUAAAUUCAAGUAUUGUGUUUGAAAUUUUGUGAGUAAAAACCAUGAAAGAAGGAUUUAAAUAUUUUUUUGAAUUUUUGUUGUAGAGGGUGGUGAUUUGACUUGUGACCAGCUGAUUUUGCACGUGCUUGACUUCGAUGUAAACAAACUCUCACGCCUUGCUGGAUGGGACCCCCCUUGACAGCUCAACUUGACCAUGUCCAGGAAAAUCAGAAUGCCUUGCUGGGUGCAGUUGCAUCACUCUAUUUAUGUGGAGGUUCACGUCGAAUCAUGGCCGAAAGAAAAUAAUUCCUGGAACUUUGCAUGUUUUAUGGGACUUUCCUUAUGAGGUAGGCUCUCCAAUUUUUUAUGAGAUGUAAAUUCAAGUAUUGUGUUUGAAAUUUUGUGAGUAAAAACCAUGAAAGAAGGAUUUAAAUAUUUUUUUGAAUUUUUGUUGU